rnacentral:rRNA from 1 species
CCUACGGGUGGCUGCAGUGAGGAAUAUUGGUCAAUGGGCGAGAGCCUGAACCAGCCAAGUCGCGUGAAGGAUGACGGCCCUACGGGUUGUAAACUUCUUUUGUCAGGGAGCAAUUGAGUCCACGUGUGGGCUUAGCGAGAGUACCUGCAGAAAAAGCAUCGGCUAACUCCGUGCCAGCAGCCGCGGUAGUACGGAGGAUGCGAGCGUUAUCCGGAUUUAUUGGGUUUAAGGGGUGCGUAGGCGGUCCGUUAAGUCAGCGGGAAAAUUGCGGGGCCAAACCCCGGCGAGCCGUUGAAACUGGCAGACUUGAGUUGGCGAGAGGUACGCGGAAUGCGAGGUGUAGCGGUGAAAUGCACAGAGAUCGCGCAGAACUCCGAUUGCGAAGGCAGCGUACCGGCGCCAGACUGACGCUGAGGCACGAAAGCGUGGGGAUCGAACAGGAUUAGAUACCCCGGUAGUC